AUUGAACGCUGGCGGCAGGCCUAACACAUGCAAGUCGAGCGGAUGAAGGGAGCUUGCUCCUGGAUUCAGCGGCGGACGGGUGAGUAAUGCCUAGGAAUCUGCCUGGUAGUGGGGGAUAACGUCCGGAAACGGGCGCUAAUACCGCAUACGUCCUGAGGGAGAAAGUGGGGGAUCUUCGGACCUCACGCUAUCAGAUGAGCCUAGGUCGGAUUAGCUAGUUGGUGGGGUAAAGGCCUACCAAGGCGACGAUCCGUAACUGGUCUGAGAGGAUGAUCAGCCACACGGGAACUGAGACACGGUCCAGAGUCCUACGGGAGGCAGCGGUGGGGAAUAUUGGACAAUGGGCGAAAGCCUGAUCCAGCCAUGCCGCGUGUGUGAAGAAGGUCUUCGGAUUGUAAAGCACUUUAAGUUGGGAGGAAGGGCAGUAAGUUAAUACCUUGCUGUUUUGACGUUACCAACAGAAUAAGCACCGGCUAACUUCGUG
rnacentral:rRNA from 1 species